GACGGAGGAGGCAAGCGUUAUCCGGAAUUAUUGGGCGUAAAGGGUACGUAGGCGGCUAGUCAAGUCUGGGGUGAAAGGCCUGAGCUCAACUGUGGGACGGCCCUGGAAACUGACUGGCUAGAGUUAGGGAGGGGUUACGGGAAUUCCCGGUGUAGCGGUGAAAUGCGUAGAGAUCGGGAAGAACACCUGAGGCGGAAGCGCGUACCUGGGCCUCAACUGACGCUGAGGUACGAAAGCUAGGGGAGAGAAUGGG
rnacentral:rRNA from 1 species